rnacentral:lncRNA from 1 species
AAGGCCCAGCACCCUGGCCCAACAGCCAAGCCCACAUCAGACUAGGGUUUCAGAAACUGAAACCCUAGUAUCCCACUUGCCGCUGCUCUCUGUCAGCCGCACGUCCCAUCGCCAUCUCUCCUCCACCUGCUCCCAUCACCUCCUUGAACACCUGCAAACAUGACGGAAGCAGCAACAGAAACAGAAACGCAGCAAACAGUAACAAAACAACAAUAGGACUUUGUAUAAUCGGCUAUAAAGAGCCAUUCAUUUUCAAUGUAAAAGGGGGGAGAUUUCGGAUUCUAUCUCAUUCGGCUAAAAACAGAAGCCGAAAGCAAUUGUAAAAAAGGGAUCCCCAUUCUUGUACACACGCAUAUUUCAGAAAUAAAAGAGCAAAAACAAAAGAAAAAGGUUACGUUUUUUUCAAUUUCUGAUUUCUUUUUUCUUUUUUCAUUUUUGAUUUUGCUUUUAAGCUUCAAGAACAAGAAAUAAAAAGAAGACGGGGAGAAAACUUACCCGAACCCCUGGGUCACACCGUCGGCGGUUCCCUCAGUCGUCGGAGCCGAACCCAAAACGGGUGGAGAUCCCUUCAUUUUCGGGUUUUCUUGGUUAAAAAAUCUUAGCCUUCAUACCUGGUUGAAUCGGGGGCUAAAAACCCACCCUUGAGCAUCGCCAGCCACCGAUACGGUGGGGGCGCGGUGAUGCGACGGCGACGGGCUCACGAUUCAGUAAGAGAGGAGAGGGAGAGAAGCUUUAACAUUCUAUUUUUUUUUUGUUCUUUUUUUUCUUUUCUUCU